AGUGAACGCUGGCGGUAGGCCUAACACAUGCAAGUCGAACGGCAGCACAGUAAGAGCUUGCUCUUACGGGUGGCGAGUGGCGGACGGGUGAGGAAUACAUCGGAAUCUACUUUUUCGUGGGGGAUAACGUAGGGAAACUUACGCUAAUACCGCAUACGACCUACGGGUGAAAGCAGGGGAUCUUCGGACCUUGCGCGAUUGAAUGAGCCGAUGUCGGAUUAGCUAGUUGGCGGGGUAAAGGCCCACCAAGGCGACGAUCCGUAGCUGGUCUGAGAGGAUGAUCAGCCACACUGGAACUGGGACACGGUCCAGACUCCUACGGGAGGCAGCGGUGGGGAAUAUUGGACAAUGGGCGCAAGCCUGAUCCAGCCAUACCGCGUGGGUGAAGAAGGCCUUCGGGUUGUAAAGCCCUUUUGUUGGGAAAGAAAAGCAGCAGGUUAAUACCCCGCUGUUCUGACGGUACCCAAAGAAUAAGCACCGGCUAACUUCGUG
rnacentral:rRNA from 1 species